GCCAGCGUGGCGGAAUUGGUAGACGCAGUGGACUCAAAAUCCACCGGAGUCAAAUCCUUACGGGUUCGAGUCCCGUCGCUGGUACCA
rnacentral:tRNA from 1 species